AGCAUGUGGUUUAAUUCGAAGCAACGCGCAGAACCUUACCAGCCCUUUGACAUACCGGUCGCGGACACAGAGAUGUGUCUUUUCAGUUCGGCUGGACCGGAUACAGGUGCUGCAUGGCUGUCGUCAGCUCGUGUCGUGAGAUGUUGGGUUAAGUCCCGCAACGAGCGCAACCCUCGCCCUUAGUUGCCAGCAUUUAGUUGGGCACUCUAAGGGGACUGCCGGUGAUAAGCCGAGAGGAAGGUGGGGAUGACGUCAAGUCCUCAUGGCCCUUACGCCUAGGGCUACACACGUACUACAAUGGCGCAUACAAAGGGCAGCGAUACCGCGAGGUGGAGCCAAUCCCAAAAAGUGCGUCCCAGUCCGGAUUGCAGUCUGCAACUCGACUGCAUGAAGUUGGAAUCGCUAGUAAUUCGAGAUCAGCAUGCUCGGGUGAAUGCGUUCCCGGGCCUU
rnacentral:rRNA from 1 species